rnacentral:rRNA from 1 species
AGAGUUUGAUCCUGGCUCAGGAUGAACGCUGGCGGCGUGCCUAAUACAUGCAAGUCGAACGAGAACGAGGUAAUUCUUAGGAAGAACCUUUAGUAAAGUGGCGAACGGGUGAGUAACACGUAGGUGACCUGCCCUCAGGAGGGGAACAACCAGUGGAAACGCUGGCUAAAGCCCCAUAAGCUCACAGGAAUUAGAACCCGGUGAGAAAACAUUCCGAUGCCUGAGGAGGGGCCUGCGGCCCAUCAGCUAGUUGGUAGGGUAAAAGCCUACCAAGGCGAAGACGGGUAGGGGGCCUGAGAGGGUGGUCCCCCACACGGGAACUGAGACACGGUCCCGACUCCUACGGGAGGCAGCAGUAAGGGAUAUUGCGCAAUGGACGAAAGUCUGACGCAGCAACGCCGCGUGCCCGAUGAAGGCUUUCGGGUCGUAAAGGGCUUUUCUGGCUGAAGAGGAAGGACAGUAGGCCAGGAAUAAGUGUCGGCUAACUACGUGCCAGCAGCCGCGGUAAAACGUAGGACGCAAGCGUUAUCCGGAGUUACUGGGCGUAAAGCGCGGGCAGGCGGUUUUUCAAGUCUGACGUGAAAGCUCCCGGCUCAACUGGGAGAGGCCGUUGGAAACUGAAAAACUGGAGGAUGGUAGAGGCGUGUGGAAUUCCGGGUGGAGCGGUGAAAUGCGUAGAGAUCCGGAGGAACACCAGUGGCGAAGGCGGCACGCUGGGCCAUACCUGACGCUGAACCGCGAAAGCGUGGGGAGCAAACGGGAUUAGAAACCCCGGUAGUCCACGCCGUAAACGAUGUCAACUAGGUGUUGGGGGGAAAACCCUCAGUGCCGAAGCAAACGCGAUAAGUUGACCGCCUGGGGAGUACGGUCGCAAGGCUAAAACUCAAAGGAAUUGACGGGGACCCGCACAAGCAGCGGAGCGUGUGGUUUAAUUCGAGACAACGCGAAGAACCUUACCUGGGUUUGACAUAGCGGUAGUAGGGAAUCGAAAGAGGACCGACCUUCGGGAGCCGUUACAGGUGCUGCAUGGCUGUCGUCAGCUCGUGCCGUGAGGUGUUCGGUUAAGUCCGCGAACGAGCGCAACCCCUGUCGUUAGUUACAAGUGUCUAGCGAGACUGCCGGCGACAAGCCGGAGGAAGGUGGGGAUGACGUCAAGUCAGCAUGGCCUUUAUAUCCAGGGCUACACACACGCUACAAUGGCCGGUACAAAGGGAAGCGAAACCGCGAGGUGAAGCGGAUCUCAGAAAGCCGGUCUCAGUUCAGAUUGCAGGCUGCAACUCGCCUGCAUGAAGUCGGAGUUGCUAGUAACCGCGCAUCAGCCACGGUGCGGUGAAUACGUUCCCGGGUCUUGUACACACCGCCCGUCACGUCAUGGAAGCUGGUAACACCUGAAGUCGGCGAGCUAACCUAACGGAGGCAACCGCCUAAGGUGGGACUGGUGACUGGGACGAAGUCGUAACAAGGUA